rnacentral:rRNA from 1 species
UCUGGUCUGUAACUGACGCUGAGGAGCGAAAGCGUGGGGAGCGAACAGGAUUAGAUACCCUGGUAGUCCACGCCGUAAACGAUGAGUGCUAAGUGUUAGGGGGUUUCCGCCCCUUAGUGCUGCAGCUAACGCAUUAAGCACUCCGCCUGGGGAGUACGGUCGCAAGACUGAAACUCAAAGGAAUUGACGGGGGCCCGCACAAGCGGUGGAGCAUGUGGUUUAAUUCGAAGCAACGCGAAGAACCUUACCAGGUCUUGACAUCCUCUGACAAUCCUAGAGAUAGGACGUCCCCUUCGGGGGCAGAGUGACAGGUGGUGCAUGGUUGUCGUCAGCUCGUGUCGUGAGAUGUUGGGUUAAGUCCCGCAACGAGCGCAACCCUUGAUCUUAGUUGCCAGCAUUCAGUUGGGCACUCUAAGGUGACUGCCGGUGACAAACCGGAGGAAGGUGGGGAUGACGUCAAAUCAUCAUGCCCCUUAUGACCUGGGCUACACACGUGCUACAAUGGACAGAACAAAGGGCAGCGAAACCGCGAGGUUAAGCCAAUCCCACAAAUCUGUUCUCAGUUCGGAUCGCAGUCUGCAACUCGACCUGCGUGAAGCUGGAAUCGCUAGUAUCGCGGAUCAGCAU